rnacentral:rRNA from 1 species
CUCUUCUUGAAUAUAUUUUGAUGUAUGGCCUGCCCACUGAAUGUUGAAGGGCCGCGGUAUUUUGACCGUGCAAAGGUAGCAUAAUCAUUAGUCUUUUAAUUGUAGGCUGGAAUGAAUGGUUUGACGAGGUGUUAACUGUCUUUAAUUUUUUUUAUUGAAUUUAAAUUUUAGGUUAAAAUGCCUAAAUAUUUUUUUGGGACGAGAAGACCCUAUAGAGUUUUAUAUAUUUUUAUUUUUUUGUAUGAUAAUUUUUAAUUUAAAAAUUUAUUUUGUUGGGGUGAUGAGAAGAUUAAAUUAACUCUUUUUAUUUUUUAUAUAUUUAUGUAUAUAUAUUUGAUCCAUUUUUAUUGAUUAUAAGACUAAAUUACC